GACGAACGCUGGCGGCGUGCCUAAUACAUGCAAGUUGAGCGAUGAAGAUUGGUGCUUGCACCAAUUUGAAGAGCAGCGAACGGGUGAGUAACGCGUGGGGAAUCUGCCUUUGAGCGGGGGACAACAUUUGGAAACGAAUGCUAAUACCGCAUAAUAACUUUAAACAUAAGUUUUAAGUUUGAAAGAUGCAAUUGCAUCACUCAAAGAUGAUCCCGCGUUGUAUUAGCUAGUUGGUGAGGUAAAGGCUCACCAAGGCGAUGAUACAUAGCCGACCUGAGAGGGUGAUCGGCCACAUUGGGACUGAGACACGGCCCCAACUCCUACGGGAGGCAGCAGUAGGGAAUCUUCGGCAAUGGACGAAAGUCUGGCCGAGCAACGCCGCGUGAGUGAAGAAGGUUUUCGGAUCGUAAAACUCUGUUGGUAGAGAAGAACGUUGGUGAGAGUGGAAAGCUCAUCAAGUGACGGUAACUACCCAGAAAGGGACGGCUAACUACGUG
rnacentral:rRNA from 1 species